rnacentral:lncRNA from 1 species
CUAUAGUACACACAGGGAGACUCAGUAAAAACACAAUUGUGAAUUGUCACAGUGAAUUGUAAUGAUCGUAGGUGGUUGUCUCUAGAAAAUCUCUUAGUAUUAAUACAUAGAUAAUAUUCAACAUGGUCGAAACUCAGAGGUAAGAUACUCUAAAUAACCAACGAACACACUGUUUCACAGUGAAUUAAUCAAUACGUAUACCAGUAAAGGAGGUUUUGUUUAUGCACCACCUAAAUGCAUUAUUUUUUUUCGGACUGUGUGUCCGUUCGUCCGUUCGUUCGUUCAUUUGUCCUUUUCAUGUUAAUGUUUUUGGUUAAUGUAGUUUUUAAUGAAGUUGUUACUUAAUACACUUGUUCCCUAUGAAAUCAUCUUUCUAUUUUUAAUGCCAAAUUAGAGAUCUGAUCCCACUUUUACAGUCCACUGAAUAAAGAAAAUGAUAGUGGGAAUGUGGUAUCCA